rnacentral:rRNA from 1 species
UACGAAGGGGGCUAGCGUUGCUCGGAAUGACUGGGCGUAAAGGGCGCGUAGGCGGUUUGUACAGUCAGAUGUGAAAUUCCUGGGCUCAACCUGGGGGCUGCAUUUGAUACGUAUGGACUGGAGUGAGGAAGAGGGUCGUGGAAUUCCCAGUGUAGAGGUGAAAUUCGUAGAUAUGUGGAGGAAUACCGAUGGCGAAGGCAGCCUCCUGGGCCAACACUGACGCUCAUGCACGAAAGCGUGGGGAGCAAACAGG